GAUUUCGGAGAGGGAGCAUGAGAAACGGCUACCACAUCUAAGGAAGGCAGCAGGCGCGUAAUUACCCAAUCCUGACUCAGGGAGGUAGUGACAAGAAAUAGCAAACCGGGAACCUCAUGGUUUCACGGUAUUGCAAUGAGAACAAUUUAAAACCCUUAGCGAGAAUCAAGUGGAGGACAAGUCUGGUGCCAGCACCCGCGGUAAUUCCAGCUCCACUAGCGUAUAUUAAAGUUGUUGCAGUUAAAAAGCUCGUAGUUGAACCUCUGUCUGGGGCUAGUUUUGGCUUUGGUCAGGCUAGUUCUAGGCAUCCGCCUACAAGACUUAGAGGGCAUUCAGUUGUUCACUAGGAGGAGUAGGCAUUUUACUUUGAAAAAAUUAGAGAGUUUAAGGCAGGCAAUCGCCCGCAUAUAUUAGCAUGGAAUAAUAGAAUAGGACACUUUUCCAUUUCGUUGGUUAUUGGAAUCGUGUAAUGAUUAAUAGGGACAGUUGUGGGCAUUUGUAUUUAAUUGUCAGAGGUGAAAUUCUUGGAUUUAUUAAAGACAAACUAACGCGAAAGCAUCUGCCAAGGAUGUUUUCAUUAAUCAAGAACGAAAGUUAGGGGAUCAAAGACGAUCAGAUACCGUCCUAGUCUUAACUAUAAACUAUUCCGACUCAAUGUUUGACUGGCUUAUAUAACCAGUUGAGCGUUGUAUGAGAAAUCAAAGUCUUUAGGUUCUGGGGGGAGUAUGGUUGCAAAGCUGAAACUUAAGGGAAUUGACGGAAGAGCACAACCAGGAGUGGAUUCUGCGGCUUAAUUUGACUCAACACGGGGAAACUUACCAGGUUAAAACAAUAGUGGGAUUGACAGUUUGAGAGCGCUUUCUUGAUUGGUUGGGUGGUGGUGCAUGGCCGUUCUUAGUUGGUGGAGUGAUUUGUCUGCUUAAUUGCGUUAACGAACGAGACCUUAACCUGCUUACUAGACUGGCGAUCAUCAAUCGUUAGCUCUUCUUAGAGGGACUUUGGUUGUUUUAACUCCAAGGAAGUUUGAGGCAAUAACAGGUCUGUGAUGCCCUUAGAUAUCCUGGGCCGCACGCGUCAUACAAUGACUAGUUCAGAAAGUUUUCUCCUGACCCGAAAGGGGAUGGGUAAUCUUGAUAAUACUAGUCGUGUUAGGGAUCGAUCUUUGCAAUUAUAGAUCUUGAACGAGGAAUUCCUAGUAAGUGCGGUUCAUCAGACCGUACUGAUUACGUCCCUGCUCUUUGUACACACCGCCCGUCGCUUCUACCGAGUGGGUGGUCCGGUGAGAUAAUUGAACUUCGCAGGUAACUGAGAGGAAAGAUUAUCAAACCUAUCCACCUCGAGGAAGAAGAAGUCGUAACAAGGUU
rnacentral:rRNA from 1 species